rnacentral:rRNA from 1 species
AACGUGGGGCUAAUACCGGAUAGGAGCUCCUGCUGCAUGGGUGGGGGUUGGAAAGUUUCGGCGGUUGGGGAUGGACUCGCGGCUUAUCAGCUUGUUGGUGGGGUAGUGGCUUACCAAGGCUUUGACGGGUAGCCGGCCUGAGAGGGUGACCGGCCACAUUGGGACUGAGAUACGGCCCAG